AGGGUGACAGCCCCGUACACAAAAGCGCAUGUGUUGUGAGCUCGAUGAGUAGGGCGGGACACGUGGUAUCCUGUCUGAAUAUGGGGGGACCAUCCUCCAAGGCUAAAUACUCCUGACUGACCGAUAGUGAACCAGUACCGUGAGGGAAAGGCGAAAAGAACCCCGGCGAGGGGAGUGAAAAAGAACCUGAAACCGUGUACGUACAAGCAGUGGGAGCACCCUUCGGGGUGUGACUGCGUACCUUUUGUAUAAUGGGUCAGCGACUUAUAUUCUGUAGCAAGGUUAACCGAAUAGGGGAGCCGGAGGGAAACCGAGUCUUAAUUGGGCGUUAAGUUGCAGGGUAUAGACCCGAAACCCGGUGAUCUAGCCAUGGGCAGGUUGAAGGUUGGGUAACACUAACUGGAGGACCGAACCGACUAAUGUUGAAAAAUUAGCGGAUGACCUGUGGCUGGGGGUGAAAGGCCAAUCAAACCGGGAGAUAGCUGGUUCUCCCCGAAAGCUAUUUAGGUAGCGCCUCGUGAAUUCAUCUCCGGGGGUAGAGCACUGUUUCGGCUAGGGGGCCAUCCCGGCUUACCAACCCGAUGCAAACUGCGAAUACCGGAGAAUGUUAUCACGGGAGACACACGGCGGGUGCUAACGUCCGUCGUGAAGAGGGAAACAACCCAGACCGCCAGCUAAGGUCCCAAAGUCAUGGUUAAGUGGGAAACGAUGUGGGAAGGCCCAGACAGCCAGGAUGUUGGCUUAGAAGCAGCCAUCAUUUAAAGAAAGCGUAAUAGCUCACUGGUCGAGUCGGCCUGCGCGGAAGAUGUAACGGGGCUAAACCAU
rnacentral:rRNA from 1 species